UUUCCGUAGGUGAACCUGCGGAAGGAUCAUUAACUACCGGCACCCCUCCCGGGGGGUGCGCGGCUCGGGGCGACCCGUGCCGUCUGUAGUCCCUGUCUUUUCGAGUACCUGUUCCGUUUCCUCGGCGGGCCUGCCCGCCAGCGAGGACCCAAAACAAACCUGCAAUCUCAGUAAUAAAUUCAGAAACCCCCCAAAAUUUAAAACUUUCAACAAUGGAUCUCUUGGCUCUGGCAUCGAUGAAGAACGCAGC
rnacentral:misc_RNA from 1 species